GACGUACGCUGGCGGCGUGCUUAACACAUGCAAGUCGAACGGAAAGGCCCUGCUUUUGUGGGGUGCUCGAGUGGCGAACGGGUGAGUAACACGUGAGUAACCUGCCCUUGACUUUGGGAUAACUUCAGGAAACUGGGGCUAAUACCGGAUAGGAGCUCCUGCUGCAUGGUGUGGGUUGGAAAGUUUCGGCGGUUGGGGAUGGACUCGCGGCUUAUCAGCUUGUUGGUGGGGUAGUGGCUUACCAAGGCUUUGACGGGUAGCCGGCCUGAGAGGGUGACCGGCCACAUUGGGACUGAGAUACGGCCCAGACUCCUACGGGAGGCAGCAGUGGGGAAUAUUGCACAAUGGGCGGAAGCCUGAUGCAGCAACGCCGCGUGCGGGAUGACGGCCUUCGGGUUGUAAACCGCUUUCGCCUGUGACGAAGCGUGAGUGACGGUAAUGGGUAAAGAAGCACCGGCUAACUACGUG
rnacentral:rRNA from 1 species